rnacentral:rRNA from 1 species
UACGGGGGGAGCAAGCGUUGUUCGGAUUUACUGGGCGUAAAGGGCGCGUAGGCGGCCAGCACAAGUCAGUUGUGAAAUCUCCGAGCUUAACUCGGAACGGUCAGCUGAUACUGUUUUGCUAGAGUGCAGAAGGGGCAAUCGGAAUUCUCGGUGUAGCGGUGAAAUGCGUAGAUAUCGAGAGGAACACCUGAGGUGAAGACGGGUUGCUGGGCUGACACUGACGCUGAUGCGCGAAAGCCAGGGUAGCAAACGGG